UAAUUUAUCCUUUGUUCUUGUCAUUUUCUCCAUCUUCGGUGAUCUCCAUUUCAAACUCAUUUUCCCUUUCCAUCUUUUUCAAGGUCUUUCUCACUCCUCAUCUUUAGUGACCUCCAUUUCAAACUUCUAUAUAUAAAAACCCACGAUUUUCACCUGCCCUUUUUCCCACCUCCUCAUUUCCUUUCAAGACCAUUUUCAUCUGUUUAUUAUGAAGUUUGAAAGUUAUGUUGAUUGGUUGUGCUGAUGAGAAAAAUAUGUUUGGGAUGAAAUUCAAGCUUUCUUGUGCUACUUGUACUAAAAACUAGCAAUAUUUACGUGAACUGGCAACACCAUGAUAUAUUGGAAUGAGAAAUAUUGUGUUUGAUCAUAUUUACUACUCUGGAACAACAUGAUAUGGGAAAUGAGAGAUUGACUUUUAUUUGAUGCUACACACAACACAUGUUACAUUAUUACACUAAUCCAAGUAUUGACAUUAAGAGGGUCAACUCAAGGCUUGCUUUUAUCAUUUUUAGUGACAUUUAGUUGCGAAGUGGUUCGAACAAAAAGAAUGUAUUAAAGAGAAUUGCUUGUUUGACUAGAAGGAAGAGUAUCGGUUGGUUGAUUAUGUCUUUGGGUCGAAAGAGGACUUUCAAGAUCCUUAGGCAAGUGUUAAUUACGUUUACUCACCAUUAAAUGUCCAUGACAAUCAUUGGGUUCUAUUAUGCUUGGAUUUGGUAAAUUGUCAAGUCAAGGUAUGGGAUUUGCUUAUAUUGCUUACAAAUACCGAAGAGGUGAGAAGCAUAUUGCUGCCGAUUUGAGAGUUGGUGCCAAAUUUGUUAGAUAAUAUUGGAUUCUUCGUUAGAAGAGGUGGAUCUUCGACACACAAGGAACCUUGUCCACUUGUCAUUGUUGACUUCAUUCCAGUCCAACGAAACAACUGACGUAUUUACCAUUAAGAAUUUUAGUUAUGUAGCUUCUGGUUUUGAUUUACUUUCUUUAUGUCAAGAAAACAUGUCCUACUUUAGAAAACAAUUAGCGUUCUAAUUAUGGAUCAACAUUCCUAUGUAUUGAAUUUUGUUGUGAAAUCUGUAAGAAUUGUAUGUCAUGUAUAUUGUGAAAUUUGUACAUAAAUCGAUUGAAUCUGUAAUGAAUAUCAUUGUAAUUUU